rnacentral:rRNA from 1 species
UACAGAGGGUGCGAGCGUUAAUCGGAAUUACUGGGCGUAAAGCGUGCGUAGACGGUUAUUUAAGUCGGGUGUGAAAAGCCCCGGGCGUCAACCUGGGAACUGGCAUUCGAGACUGCAUAGCUAGGAUGCGGGGAGGAGGUGAGUGGAAUUCCCGGUGUAGCGGUAGAAAUGCGUAGAUAUCGGGAAGAACACCCGUGGCGAAGGCGGCUACUCGUGGAACGCAACUGACGCUGAGACGCGAAAGGCGUGGGGAGCAACAGG